AGCCUGCCCAGUGACUAAGUUAAACGGCCGCGGUACCCUAACCGUGCAAAGGUAGCGCAAUCACUUGUUCUUUAAAUGAGGACUAGUAUGAACGGCAUCACGAGGGUUACACUGUCUCCCUAUUCCACUCAGUGAAACUGAUCUUCCCGUGAAGAAGCGGGAAUAUAAAUAUAAGACGAGAAGACCCCAUGGAGCUUUAAACUCAGUGUCAUCUGCCACUUCAAUACCCUCUUAAUUACGCAGACCAUGAUAACUAGUUUUCGGUUGGGGUGACCGCGGAGUAAAACAAAACCUCCACAACGAAAGGAACUAACAACCUAAUCCAAGAGCAACAUCUCUAAGAAUCAACAAAUUGACUUAAUUGAUCCAAUUACUUGAUCAACGAACCAAGUUACCCUGGGGAUAACAGCGCAAUCCAUUUCAAGAGCUCAUAUCGACAAAUGGGUUUACGACCUCGAUGUUGGAUCAGGGUAUCCCAGUGGCGCAGCAGCUACUAACGGUUCGUUUGUUCAACGAUUAAA
rnacentral:rRNA from 1 species